AGGAAGCGGGGAUGACGUCAAAUCAGCACGGCCCUUACGUCCAGGGCUACACACGUGCUACAAUGGCCGAUACAGAGGGCAGCUACCUGGUGACAGGAUGCAAAUCUCCAAAGUCGGUCUCAGUUCGGAUCGGAGUCUGCAACCCGACUCCGUGAAGUUGGAUUCGCUAGUAAUCGCGCAUCAGCCAUGGCGCGGUGAAUACGUUCCCGGGCCUU
rnacentral:rRNA from 1 species